GACGAACCGUCCGAACGUUAUUCGGAAUCACUGGGCUUAAAGGGUGCGUAGGCGGCGCGGAAAGUUGGGUGUGAAAUCCCUCGGCUCAACCGAGGAACUGCGCCCAAAACUACCGUGCUCGAGGGAGAUAGAGGUGAGCGGAACUUAGGGUGGAGCGGUGAAAUGCGUUGAUAUCAUCAGGAAUACCGGAGGCGAAGGCGGCUCACUGGGUCUCUUCUGACGCUGAGGAACGAAAGCGUGGGGAGCAAACAGG
rnacentral:rRNA from 1 species